UACGUAGGCAGCGAGCGUUGUUCGGAGUUACUGGGCGUAAAGCGUGCGUAGGCGGUUUUGUAAGUUUGGUGUGAAAUCUCCCGGCUCAACUGGGAGGGUGCGCCGAAAACUGCAAGGCUGGAGUGUGGGAGAGGUAGGCGGAAUUCCUGGUGUAGCGGUGAAAUGCGUAGAUAUCAGGAGGAACACCUGUGGUGUAGACGGCUUACUGGACCAUGACUGACGCUGAGGCGCGAAAGCGUGGGGAGCAAACAGG
rnacentral:rRNA from 1 species